AUUGAACGCUGGCGGCAGGCCUAACACAUGCAAGUCGAGCGGAUGACGGGAGCUUGCUCCUUGAUUCAGCGGCGGACGGGUGAGUAAUGCCUAGGAAUYUGCCUGGUAGUGGGGGACAACGUUUCGAAAGGAACGCUAAUACCGCAUAYGUCCUACGGGAGAAAGCAGGGGACCUUCGGGCCUUGCGCUAUCAGAUGAGCCUAGGUCGGAUUAGCUAGUUGGUGAGGUAAUGGCUCACCAAGGCGACGAUCCGUAACUGGUYUGAGAGGAUGAUCAGUCACACUGGAACUGAGACACGGUCCAGACUCCUACGGGAGGCAGCAGUGGGGAAUAUUGGACAAUGGGCGAAAGCCUGAUCCAGCCAUGCCGCGUGUGUGAAGAAGGUYUUCGGAUUGUAAAGCACUUUAAGUUGGGAGGAAGGGCAGUAAGUUAAUACCUUGCUGUUUUGACGUUACCGACAGAAUAAGCACCGGCU
rnacentral:rRNA from 1 species